rnacentral:tRNA from 1 species
GUCCCGUUCGUCUAGCGGCCUAGGACUCCACCCUCUCAAGGUGGCGGCACGGGUUCGAAUCCCGUACGGGAUGCCA